rnacentral:rRNA from 1 species
UACAGAGGUCCCAAGCGUUGUUCGGAUUCACUGGGCGUAAAGGGUGCGUAGGCGGUUCGUUAAGUCUGCUGUGAAAGCCCUGGGCUCAACCUGGGAACUGCAGUGGAUACUGGCGGACUAGAGUGUGAUAGAGGAUGGUGGAAUUCCCGGUGUAGCGGUGAAAUGCGUAGAGAUCGGGAGGAACACCAGUGGCGAAGGCGGCCAUCUGGAUCAACACUGACGCUGAGGCACGAAAGCGUGGGGAGCAAACAGG